rnacentral:tRNA from 1 species
UUAAUUGAAGCCAAAUUUAGAGGUUUCUUAUUGUUAAUAAGAACAUUGAAUAUUAUUCCAAUUAAA